AGUCAAUAGAUACCCGGGUAGUCCAUGCCGUAAACGAUGAUUGCUAGGUGUGGGGGGUCUGACCCCUUCCGUGCCGGAGUUAAACACAAAUAAGCAAUCCACCUGGGGAGUACGGCCGCAAGGUUGAAACUCAAAGGAAUUGACGGGGGCCCGCACAAGCAGUGGAGUAUGUGGUUUAAUUCGAAGCAACGCGAAGAACCUUACCAGGUCUUGACAUCCACCGAAUCCUGUAGAGAUACGGGAGUGCCCUUCGGGAACGGUGAGACAGGUGGUGCAUGGUUGUCGUCAGCUCGUGUCGUGAGAUGUUGGGUUAAGUCCCGCAACGAGCGCAACCCUUGUGAAUAGUUGCUACGAAACGAGCACUCUAUUCAGACCGCC
rnacentral:rRNA from 1 species